GAUGAACGCUGGCGGCGUGCCUAAUACAUGCAAGUCGAGCGAACGGACGAGAAGCUUGCUUCUCUGAUGUUAGCGGCGGGCGGGUGAGUAACACGUGGAUAACCUACCUAUAAGACUGGGAUAACUUCGGGAAACCGGAGCUAAUACCGGCUAAUAUUUUGAACCGCAUGGUUCAAAAGUGAAAGACGGUCUUGCUGUCACUUAUAGAUGGAUCCGCGUUGCAUUAGCUAGUUGGUAAGGUAACGGCUUACCAAGGCAACGAUGCAUAGCCGACCUGAGAGGGUGAUCAGCCACACUGGAACUGAGACACGGUCCAGACUCCUACGGGAGGCAGCAGUAGGGAAUCUUCCGCAAUGGGCGAAAGCCUGACGGAGCAACGCCGCGUGAGUGAUGAAGGUCUUCGGAUCGUAAAACUCUGUUAUUAGGGAAGAACAGAUGUGUAAGUAACUGUGCACAUCUUGACGGUACCUAAUCAGAAAGCCACGGCUAACUACGUG
rnacentral:rRNA from 1 species